CAGGCAAUAAUUUUUUCUUUUUAGGUUAAUUAGAAAAAUGUGUGGACUUGGACAGAUGGCAGUCAUUUUGAUUACAACAAAUGGGCUCCUGGCCAGCCUGACAAUUAUAUGGACAGAGAGUACUGCGCUGAGAUGAUCUCUUGGGACUGGGGACUCUGGAACGAUGCGUCCUGUACUAACAAGAAGCCCUACGUGUGUGCAGUGUUACUCUAGUAGUUCAGAGAGAACCUGAAGAGCAGCAGUUGGACCAGUCUGCUUCAACUGUAACCACUGCAAGCUUUUACAUUUACUGCAAUAAAUAUUCAGCAUCA